CAAGGGAAAGAAUAUUUGCAGAAUCUAGAGGAAUGUUCAAAUUUCUGAAUAAAUAUUCGAAAUGUUUUUUCCUGUGACUGGAGAAACGAUGGCAAUGUAUUAAAAAGUGAUCAAUGUUUUCAGGCUCUUGACAUAAAAAGCAAAGAGGGGACGGAACCAGACCAGCCCUGUGUAAAUAAAAAUUUAGAGGAGGAAUACGGCAUCAAAGUUUAGUAAGGGACACCUCCAAUUUACGAAAGGAACACCAUUUAUUGUUCCAAGGAAAAGAAAGUUUCAAGUUCAAUUUU
rnacentral:lncRNA from 1 species